AUUAUUAGCAUUUAUCAUAUACUUAGCAUUAAUAUGAUAGCUUUUGCAUAUGUGUAAUGGGCGGAAGUGCACAAGCCAUAUCUUCCCACCCGGGCUGAUAACCCAUAUCAAGUGCCUCUCGUGCAAAAAACCCAUAUCAGUGCCUCUCGUGCAAGUUACUUCCGGUGUUUCCGGUAUCGGUUGUUUACUCUUCCAUUGUGACGUCAGAUGUUUUUUAUGACGACGUCAAAAUUUACGGGAACUUUUGUGGGGAUAGUUUUUAAAUACUUGCUAACAAAUGCCAUUGACAAUUAUGAAUCAUUUUAUAGUACAACAAACAUGGAGUAGUAAUGAUCGUAAAACUCUUCUAAAUUUUCAAUGUUUCAAAAUGCCUCUAUAGGAAAUGUUACCAUAAAUAUAUAAGGAGUUAAUGAUGCUGUUGUUGGACAACUAUAGUAUAUUUGAUUCAUAAUUUUAAUUUUCUUUAUAAAAUGUUUGACUGUUU
rnacentral:lncRNA from 1 species